UGUCAAAUGCUCCUCUUAACAGAAUGUAUCUUGCUGACUUAAAAUAUGCUAUCAAGAACCACUGAAGUGUCCUGAAUUUCAUCUUUAGGGUUUUGAGAAACCUGAACAUGUCUGGAACAAUCCCAGAUUUUAUUUGGCAAAUGGACAACCUGCUGACUCUGUAAGUCUAAAACCUCAUUGAUCUCCAUAUACAUGUUGUAUAAUAUGUUUUCAAUCUAAUUUUAUAGUAUCAAUGUUGGUUCAUCUGGCAAUGAUAUGACCCUGUUCCUAAGCUAUGGCACAAAUAUUAAUCCAUAUUAGAAUGUAUUUUUAUAAUGAACAACCUGCUGACUCUGCAAGUCUAAAACUUCAUUGAUCUCCGUACACAUGUCCUAUAAUAUGUUUUCAAUCUAAUUUUAUAGUAUCAAUGUUGGUUCAUCUGGCAAUGAUAUGACCCUGUUCCUAAGCUAUGGCACAAAUAUUAAUCCAUAUUAGAAUGUAUUUUUAUAAUGAAACUCUUAAAAAAGAUUUUAUGUACAAAGAAAGAAAUAAACUAGCUCCUUGCUGACCUAACUUGACUUAGCCAAACUAAAGAGGAUAUGAUGCAUAUAUAUAUGUAUGUAUGUAUGUAUAUUUCCCUUGCCAACUUUUAAACCUUUCUACUUUAGCCCUCAAGAAACUGAGCAAAAUGCCAGGAAUUCUUAAAGACAAUAAUCUUUGGGGAUUGCAAUUGAGUGCCCUGUUCUCAGAGACCACUUCCCUUUUAUUGAUGAUCAGUCGAUUUAAACAUGAUCUGCUCCUUUGGUUUAGUGGUGAUGAUUAGCCUGGCCUGAUUCUUUGAGUUUUUGAUUUAUCUUCUUUGUGAUCUUUGGAGGAAUCUUGAUCUUAUAUCUUGUGAGUUGCUCUGGUGGGUUUAAUCUGGGAGGAUGGAUCCUUGUGUGAUCAAGUUCAGUCUUCUCAUGUGUACUUGUAUGAGGCCUCCUAAAGGCACUGUAGAGUUUCAAAAUUAACAGGAUUUUGGGUUUCCUAAGAAAUGAAAAUAUUUUGACAUUUUGAUAGAUAAUUUUAGAAUUUAAUACCAUAGAAGUAAGAUUCUCAACAAUAGUUUUUCCCUGCGAUAACUGUUAAACUUCUGACUAGAUUGAGUUUGAAAGCAAAUAUAGAAAACCAUGCUGUAGAACUUUAAUAGUAUCACGCGGCAGAAUUUUAAUAGUUUUACCAAGUAUGGGGCAAAGGCGAGCAUCACAGGCAUAUAAUGAUGUUCAAGAGGAGCAGCUGCCAAGGCUGACUGAAAUAUCAACAGCUUUCAUUUGAUGUCUAAAAGUUUUGUUGUCAUAAUAGCCAACUAAACCAAUUGACGUCGCUCUUUAAAUGAUAUGUUUUUGUUCUUUGUUAUAUGCUCCUGUAAAUCUGUCAUUAGCUCCUUUAUUGCUUUAAAUAUUAAUUAAAUUCCUGUCAUUACAAUGAUGGAAUACAUCCUUUGAAGAGAUAAGCCUGCCCUUUUUUGCUCUCUAAAUUUUUUUCAGCGAC
rnacentral:lncRNA from 1 species